rnacentral:rRNA from 1 species
UGAUAACAAGUAAAAGGAAUGUUGGUAGUUAUAUGAUCAGCGAUUGCAU